rnacentral:rRNA from 1 species
UACGGGGGGGGCAAGCGUUGUUCGGAAUUACUGGGCGUAAAGGGCUCGUAGGCGGCCAACUAAGUCAUACGUGAAAUCCCUCGGCUUAACCGGGGAACUGCGUCUGAUACUGGAUGGCUUGAGAUUGGGAGAGGGAUGCGGAAUUCCAGGUGUAGCGGUGAAAUGCGUAGAUAUCUGGAGGAACACCGGUGGCGAAGGCGGGUCUCUGGGCCGAAACUGACGCUGAGGAGCGAAAGCGUGGGGAGCGAACAGG